rnacentral:tRNA from 1 species
GCCGCCGUAGCUCAGUUGGAAGAGCACAUGAUUUGUAAUCUUGAGGUCAGCGGUUCGAGUCCGCUCGGCGGCU